CCUACAUAAAUUCCUAUCAAGGUUACCAGCCCUCCCCAGUUUAUUCCUUUCUCUCUUUCCCAGCCAUGGCCUCUCAGCCACCAGUCACCUCUUCCCCCAACCCCCUGACCUCCCACUUCUCUUCUCAAUUCAACUGCUCUUCAGGAUUUCUGGUUGCACUACCUCUGGAGACAAGACUCUAGCAUUUGUUCUUUAUAGUAAUGUCAUUGGAUUGAGGAUACUUGUUUGCAGAGGAGGCAAGAAUGCGUUGUUCCGUUUUUGAAUUCCACACAUCUAAUAUGGAGCCUGAGCCACAGGGCUCAAAAUGUUAAGUAAACAAAUGAAUGGGAAAUUAAUAAGAAGAAUGCAUUGGCAAGACCGUGAAGGCCUGCCAUGGGAAGCUUUGGGAAGAAGCCAGCUGCCAUGUUGUGAGAACUCUCAAGCAGCUGUGUGGAGAGAUCCAUGUGGUGAGGAACUGAAGCCUCCUACCCACCAUCAAGUCAGUGGCUCACUACUGUUGCAGUGAAUUCUCCAGCCCAUGAAGACUUUAGAUGAUUUACCCAACAUCUUGAUUAUAGCCUCAUGGAUUCCCUGAGCCAGAACAACCCAGCUAAGCCUCUCCUGAAUUCCUUACCUACAGAAACUGUGAGAUAAUAAAUAUUUAUUCUUUUAAGCCAUCAAAUUUUGGGUAAUUUAUUAUGCAGUAAUAUGUAACUAAUAUAGAUAAAAAUAUUCAGUUUGAAGGAAAGAAGAAAAAUAACUUACAAUAAACUCAAGAAAUAAAAUAAAAUUAAAACAAAGGUUAAUUCAAAAAGAAAGAAUUAUACUGUAAGCAGUUGUGGUCUAAGUGUGUGUAUGCAGGAAUGUUGUGAUAGAUCAAUGCAAAUUUUCCAUAUUUGGAGAACCAUGCUGUCUGUGGGGGAACCAACCAGAGUAGUCUGGGCAUGAGUUUUGUGUGUGUGUGGUGUUGGAGGUAUAGGUUGCUGUGGUAUUUGUAUGGUUAGAG
rnacentral:lncRNA from 1 species